rnacentral:rRNA from 1 species
GACGAACGCUGGCGGCGUGCCUAAUACAUGCAAGUAGAACGCACAGUUUAUACCGUAGCUUGCUACACCAUAAACUGUGAGUUGCGAACGGGUGAGUAACGCGUAGGUAACCUGCCUGGUAGCGGGGGAUAACUAUUGGAAACGAUAGCUAAUACCGCAUAAUAUUAAUUAUUGCAUGAUAAUUGAUUGAAAGAUGCAAUUGCAUCACUACCAGAUGGACCUGCGUUGUAUUAGCUAGUAGGUGAGGUAACGGCUCACCUAGGCGACGAUACAUAGCCGACCUGAGAGGGUGAUCGGCCACACUGGGACUGAGACACGGCCCAGACUCCUACGGGAGGCAGCAGUAGGGAAUCUUCGGCAAUGGACGAAAGUCUGACCGAGCAACGCCGCGUGAGUGAAGAAGGUUUUCGGAUCGUAAAGCUCUGUUGUAAGAGAAGAACGGGUGUGAGAGUGGAAAGUUCUCACUGUGACGGUAUCUUACCAGAAAGAGACGGCUAACUACGUG